rnacentral:rRNA from 1 species
UACGUAGGGGGCGAGCGUUGUCCGGAUUCAUUGGGCGUAAAGAUCUCGUAGGCGGCUUGGCAAGUCGGGUGUGAAAACUCCAGGCUCAACCUGGAGACGCCACCCGAUACUGCCAUGGCUUGAGUCCGGUAGGGGACCACGGAAUUCCUGGUGUAGCGGUGAAAUGCGCAGAUAUCAGGAGGAACACCGGUGGCGAAGGCGGUGGUCUGGGCCGGUACUGACGCUGAGGAGCGAAAGCGUGGGGAGCGAACAGG